GCAUGGUUGUCGUCAGCUCGUGCCGUGAGGUGUCGGCUCAAGUGCCAUAACGAGCGCAACCCCUGUCUCCUGUUGCCAUCAGGUAAAGCUGGGCACACUGGAGAGACUGCCGCCGUAAGGUGCGAGGAAGGUGGGGAUGACGUCAAAUCAGCACGGCCCUUACGUCCGGGGCUACACACGUGUUACAAUGGCCGGUACAGAAGGAUGGUGCCCCGCAAGGUGCAUCGAACCUGAAAAACCGGUCCCAGUUCGGACUGGGGUCUGCAACCCGACCCCACGAAGCUGGAUUCGCUAGUAAUCGCGCAUCAGCCAUGACGCGGUGAAUACGUUCCCGGGCCUUGUACACACCGCCCGUCAAGCCAUGAAAGCCGGGAGUGCCUGAAGUCCGUGACCGCGAGGAUCGGCCUAGGGCAAAAUCGGUAAUUGGGGCUAAGUCGUAACAAGGUAACCGU
rnacentral:rRNA from 1 species